rnacentral:rRNA from 1 species
GUGUCUUGGUGGUUAAAUUCCCCGACGGCCACUAGUCGUCUUAUUGACCAUUACCUGCGACUAGUGUCAUCGGGGAGCCUUCUACAAUCCGUUUCGGCUCUCUACAGCUAGGCGCAUGGAUCUUGUGCUCAGCCUUGGCUCAACGGUCUACUGAGGUGUGUCCUCUUCCUUCUCCUCCUACUCCUCCUCCUCGGGAACUCGGGUUGGAGUUCCGAGUACCUCCCAUAGAUAUAGCAGCAGUACUAGCCGAAGCCGUGCGGGAAUUUGGAUGGCGACAAGGCACGGCCGAAGCUCCGGGUCGAAGCGGUAAUGGGCGCGAAGGCGUUGUAGGUUUGGGUACUAUCGUACCAUCUUACACCAUUCUCAUUACUACGAUGUACCCCAUUGUUUAACCCGAUGUAGUAGGAAGGUAAAGCAUAUCGGUACGUGCUACUAGUUUAACGUAUAUAGGCACUUCGUUUCUUCUACCGCCUCGCCUUUUCCUCCAGUGAACUUCAAUAAUACUGUGUUUUCUACUGGCUUUAAAAGGAGUUUACAAAACCACAUUUCCAUAUAAAGUACUUGACGUGUUUGAAACUUGUACAAAUAUAGAGCAGUGAAGGUACAAAGAUGAACGUGACGUAAAUAGGUAGUUUCGUCCGUUGUAGGAAAUAGCACGUGGCGUACGAGCCUUUAUGCUGUAAUAACAAGAGGUUGUACUAACCUGGUCAACUUGCCUAUCUGAAUACCCCCGUGUGCCAAUGGAAGUAACGUGGAUCGCAGAUGCCCGGUCCUCUCCCGGAUUAAGACUUGAUGGUUUCAAUAUCGUCGUGAUAGUUCCAUCAAGAUAGCAAACUACUCCUUUUCGAAGGUCUAGUAGCGGUAGAAGACCUACUGAAACAUCUCAGAGAGUCCGAGUAAUUUCUACGCCGAAGUUUCGAAUGUCUCAGCUCGUUCGUACUCAGUAAUAUGUUUUCAACCUACUCACGCGGUGUUCUAUGUGCAUGUGUACACACGCUAGUUAUAGUGACACAUAUGGUGCACUAUCUAUGAUCAUAUGGAUACACCACGUACAUAAACCAUGAUCUCAUAGAAUCAGGUCUUUAGCUAAUUCGGUUUCGUACAUUCAUCGUACGUAAGCUGUGCGAUAAAAGAAAUGAAAGCCUGACAGUAGCUGUUCUAGUUCGGACGAGGUCAUUUCCUCGUCGAGCAAGACUACCGUCCUUACCAACAAGCCACUAAGUUCCUGAAGUUACAUUAAAAAUAAUACACAACACACGAAACAUAAAGAUUACUUAGAAGU